rnacentral:rRNA from 1 species
GACGAACGCUGGCGGCGUGCCUAACACAUGCAAGUCGAACGAAGCUCCCUGACGUAAGACUUCGGUCAAGCUGAUGGGAUGACUUAGUGGCGGACGGGUGAGUAACGCGUGAGGAACCUGCCUUUCAGUGGGGGACAACAGUUGGAAACGACUGCUAAUACCGCAUAAUGUACUUUGGGGGCAUCCCCGAGGUACCAAAGAUUUAUUGCUGAAAGAUGGCCUCGCGUCUGAUUAGAUAGUUGGUGGGGUAACGGCCCACCAAGUCGACGAUCAGUAGCCGGACUGAGAGGUUGAACGGCCACAUUGGGACUGAGAUACGGCCCAGACUCCUACGGGAGGCAGCAGUGGGGAAUAUUGGGCAAUGGGGGAAACCCUGACCCAGCAACGCCGCGUGAAGGAGAAGGCUUUCGGGUUGUAAACUUCUUUUACCAGGGACGAAGGACGUGACGGUACUUGGAGAAAAAGCCAACGGCUAACUACGUGCCAGCAGCCGCGGU